rnacentral:misc_RNA from 1 species
AUCAUUGUUUAUUCCUCACCCUAAGCUGACACAUAUUUCAGCAACAAUAGCAUAGACACAGCGAUUCUUCUCCCAGAUGUAACCGUUCUAUCUACAAAGUAUGACAGGGCUGCCAUGACGCCAGAACUUCGACACGUCUGGAGGAUUCUCGUCUUUAUUGUUGCUGUAUUGGGCAUUCAAGAGCUGCAAUUGCUAUUUCUGGUGGUGAAAUGGUACAAUUCAAAUGAUCCAGGAAGCAAAACACCAGAGAUAUGUGGCCCCGCUCCACCGGAAGUGACGUGCGACCCCCUGUAUAAGUACCGUAAUGUGGACGGUUCCUGUAACAACCUGAAGCACCCUGCCUGGGGACAGAGCAAAACUAAACAGCACAGGUUCCUUCCACCGCGAUAUGAUGACGGCUGUGAGUCUCCCCGACAAACAGGGUACGAUCAUCUACCGCUGCCCAGUCCCCGGGACGUUAGCAACAUUCUGUUUCAGAACAGGAACUCCACAACCACUCACGAUCCGAAGCUUAACAUCCUCCAUAUGUCUUUUGGGCAGUUCCUGGAUCACGACCUCGUUUUGACUCCAGUGACCGGUGGUUUGCUAUCAUGUUGCGGAGAGCACAUUGACAGACCAGAGUGCAUACCAAUACACAUUCCCUCUCAGGACCCUUUCUUCACAAACAGCUGUAUGCCUCUGUCUAGGUCAGCAUGGACUUACGUGGAACACGGGCAUAACUGUUGCCGAGAACAGAUAAAUGACGUCACGUCCUUCAUUGACGCAUCUAACGUGUAUGGUUCUAGUGAACAAAAGGCGAAGGCUCUAAGAACUUUCCAAAAUGGCACCCUACGAGACAGAAAUGGCGGACUGCCCGAUGGUGGCACCAGCAAAUGCGUUUUUAAUGACGUCACAACCGACUAUUGUCAAGACGCAGGUUACCAGUGCUGAAUCGAGCGCUUAAUUCUUACGAAAAUCUCAAGCAUGUCCUUUUAAAAAACCAAGUUUGUGAGAUCUUUUUAAUCAAGCUUAAGCUGUCUCGGCGUUUUCUACAUCAAUCGUCCAUACAAACCAUUGCUAUGCAUGCUAAUCUAACGGCAUUCAAAAUUUAAAGAGCUAAAUUACUUCAUAACUGUCAAACAUAUUUUAAACCCUUAUACAUUUUUUACAGAAUUAUUAAAGUCAUUUAUUCAGGUUUGCAAAGCCAACCCCUCCUGGGUACAGACCCAAAUAUAUACGUGCAUCAACUGCAUGUAUAAUUAUUGUAGUGAAACUAUUUGAUAAAUGCUUUUGAAUAAAAUUGUUCAUAGCUUUGCAUUUUUAAUAAAUGUAAAAAAUAGAAUCGAAACAUUCUUUUAUAGACCAGUAAGAAUCGGUUACACGCCAAUAUGAACCGGUUACAGACCAGUAUAAAAAGAUUAAAGAAAAUAUGAAUGUGUUACAGACCAAUAGGAAUGUGUUACAGACCGAUAUAAAUGUGUUACAAAAAUAAAUCUUUUAUAGACAAAUAUGAAUCGGUUUACAGACUAUGGUUAUGAGCCUCUCCUCACGUGAUUUGUAGGUGACGUGCGGGUCAACGUCGUACCAAACCUAGGGUCAGUUCACCUUCUUUUCCUCAGGUAUCAUAACUACAUCGCCGGGCAGAUAGCCACACUCAAUCCUUCAUGGGAUGACGAAACUCUCUACCAAGAAACACGUGCCAUAGUUACCGCCAUUUUACAGCACGUGGUCUAUAAAGAGUACCUGCCAUUGGUUGUGGGAGAUGAAGUAAUGGCGGAGUAUGGAUUGAAUCCAAGCCCCGCCGGCUAUAACACAGUUUACGAUGAGGACAUAAACUUGUCAACACGCAACGCUUUUGCAGCAGCGGCAUUCCGAUUUGGUCAUUCUCAAGUAACGAAUCACCAAAAGCAGUACAAUAAAACGUAUUUUGAGAUCGCCAGCUUGAACAUAGAAGACACAUAUCAUUCUCCGCAUUUCUGUGUUUACAAUGGCGGGACAAGUUCCGAAGGGAUCUUACGCUGGCAACUUGCAGAACAAGCAGCAAAAUCAGAUAGGGUGUUUGAGAGUGGCGUUAGGGACAGACUAUUUAGGGAACCUGACGGCACAAGCUUGGAUCUCCCGGCCAUUAAUGUACAACGGGGAAGGGACCAUGGUCUUCCCCCUUACAUAAAAUGGCGGGAAUUUUGCGGUUUAAGUGUCAACUUAUCGGAUCACAGCUAUACAGAAAAACUCGACCUGAAGAAUGUCUAUAGAGACAUUAGGGACAUAGACCUCUAUGCCGGAGCCAUGACCGAGCUUCCGGUCCCUGGGGGAAUUGUUGGUCCUACCUUUGCCUGCUUGAUAGCCAGACAGUUUUUAAUGUAUAAGAAAGGCGACAGGUUCUGGUAUGAGAACAACCACAGGCAUGGCUUCACUGAAGAUCAGCUGACAGAGAUUAAGAAAGCCACACUGUCAUCUGUUCUAUGUCAGAGUAUAGACGUUGAUCAAGUCAGUCUCAGGGCGUUCAUUAUCAUUAGUGACACAAAUCCAACAGUGAAUUGCAGCUCUCUUAUCCACCCAUAUUGGACGCUAUGGAGAGAAAAGGCAAAGACGUCGUAGCUUGUUUGUGCUAAGCAUUAAACUUCUCCUUGGAGCUAUUUCAGUCUUAAUUAAAAAUUGGAAAAAGUUUCAAUAUGAUUUGUAACAUAUAUAUAGCAUGAUUUUUGCAAAAAUGUUUAAAAAAAAAUUAAAACAAAAAAAUUCUC